UGGAUAUUCUUAAAACUCUACAGUUUACUAAAUUACAUAUUAAUCUUACUAAGUGCCAGGUUAUAUAGUAGUUUGUUAUAUUGGUGUCAACUGUAAACAUGAAAUUGAUAGGUAAAAAAACUGGAAUUUUUCAUGACGCAAAACAUUAUGAUAGUCAACUUUAAAAAAUUCUGUAACUUUUUCUAAUGAUCUUGGAUAUUCUUAAAACUGUACAGUUUACUCAAUUACAUAUUAAUCUUACUAAGUGCCAAGUUAUAUAGUAGUUUGUUAUAUUGGUGUCAACUGUAAAGAUUAAAUUGAUAGGUAAAAAAACUGGAAUUUUUCAUGUCGCAAAACAUUAUGGUAGUCAACUUAAAAAAAUUCUGUAACUUUUUCUAAUGAUCUUGGAUAUUCUUAAAACUGUACAAUUUACUCAAUUACAUAUUAAUCUUACUAAGUGCCAGGUUAUAUAGUAGUUUGUUAUAUUGGUGUCAACUGUAAAGAUUAAAUUGAUAGGUAAAAAAACUGGAAUUUUUCAUUCUGUAACUUUUUCUAAUGAUCUUUGAUAUUCUUAAAACUCUACAGUUUACUCAAUUACAUAUUAAUCUUACUAAGUGCAAGGUUAUAUGGUAGUUUGUUAUAUUGGUAUCAACUGUAACGAUUUAAUUGAGAGGUAAAGAAAAUUGGAAUUUUUCAUGUCAGAAAAAAUUAUGAUAGUCAACUUAAAAAAAUUCUGUAACUUUUUCAAAUGAUCUUGGAUAUUCUUAAAACUCUACAGUUUACUCAAUUACAUAUUAAUCUUAUUGAAUGCCAGGUUAUAUGGUAGUUUGUUAUAUUGGUGUCAACUGUAAAUAUUUAAUUGAGAGGUAAAAAAAAUUGUAAUUUUUCAUGUCGGAAAAAAUUAUGAUAGUCAACUUAAAAAAUUUCUGUAACUUUUU
rnacentral:lncRNA from 1 species